rnacentral:lncRNA from 1 species
AUGGCUGCGAUGCACAAUAGCAGGAUUCUGAAAAAGACUGAAAUGAAAGAGUUUGUUGGGGGCGCCGCACCAUCAAGUACAACAUCAGACCCUCUUGUUGAUAUAACAAAUACAAAUGGUCUCGGUUUCACUAAUAGACGGGGCAAGGGUAGAGCCAAGUCGUUAUGUGUUGUUCGAAGAAACGACAAAGAGUGUCACGGCUCUAAAGAAAACUGUGACAACUCUGAACAGAACACUCCAAUAGCUUCAAAUGUUGUGCAUCCUAUUGUCACGCCUAAUAGUCAGCCAUUUGCGGAUGACCGCGAUGCAUCCUUCAGUACACCAAGCAAUUUGCCUAUGUGCACAGGUGCGCAUGGAGAUGUUACUAACCUUACCCAUGCUGAAGUUGCAAGAAAGCAUGCUAGAAACUGGUACGCAUCAUUGACCCAGGAGCAAAAGGAUGAGAGGAACAAGAAGGACCAUGAGAGAAGAAAACGGAAGAAGGAGGAAAGUCAAGUUUUAAAGUCUGCAACCAAUAGUGGUGUAGCCCCACUUGGCAAGCUUUCCAAUAUAAGUGCUGUUGAUUUAAUGACAUGCCAAUUGGAAGUGAACGAUUCUUCUACGUUGCAUAAAGAACGAAGUGAUGCUUCCCAUCUUAAUAUCACACCCAGACGUCUCCCAUUUACAAUCAUCAACAAUGUAGCUCACUAUGGUCCAAAUGAAGUUCCAAUGAGCUGCGUAAUUCAAACAACCCAAAACAGAGACGUCAAGUUGCGUAAUGCAACUCUUACACCGGAGCAGAAGCAAGCUAAGGUCGAUCGACAGAGAACAAGACGUCAAGCACUAACCAAUGAACAGAGACUAGAGAUGAAUGAUUGCCGUAGGGUUGCAAGGCAAACUCUGCCGAAUGUGGAAAUACAUGAUAUGAAUGCUCGCCAGCGAUCAAGACGACAAAGUGUUACUCCUGGAGAACGGUCUGCUCAUCUGGCACGACGUAAUGAACUGUAUGCAACUAGGCGUGACAAACCAUGCGCUCAAUCGAUUGCAUUGGAGUGCCCUGAGGAUUGUAGCUCAUCGUUGCUAAAUCCAACGCCUUCCUUUGAAACAACCGGUGAUGUGCCAGCUACAUCGAGCCUGCAAACUGAACUUGCUGCAGAUCAUCUUGCACGAUCGUCUAACUUUGAUGAU